CACAAAUAAUUACAUAAACCGUCUUAUAACAAUUCAAAAGAGCUUUACCUUUCUCUAACGCCCUGUACUGGUAGACUUAAACCUAUCACAUACAGUUUUCUUUUUUUCUCUCAUCGCUCCUGUUCCUUUCCCCACCUCUCACUCAACUCCCAGCCUCCCCCCUCAUCUACUCUCCCCUCCAUCUCACUCCAUUAAUCAACCUCAGUUAGGAAAAUAUUUCCUGCUUCUCUGCCAGUUCCAUAUUAGUACAAUCCUUUUACUGAAACAAGCCAGCUCAUGAGAGUGAGCUCCAGCCAUAUCCGAACACACGGGCAGGCAGACCAGUCUAGGGGAGAGAGGAAAGGCAGAUAUUGCUGGCAGAGAGUCUGACACAGGAAGGCGGUUUUCAACACCGCGGCCAGUUUCUCAAGCCUGAGCCUCUCCAGUUCAGGGUACCAGAGGGCCUCUCAUGUCCAGAUGAAACCCCAGAAACGGGCAGAUAAAUUGCAAGAAAAACGUCUAGAAAAAUAUCUUUGCAGGAUGUUCAAAAAGCAGGAGAAAGGAGCCACCCACGGCUCGAGCAGUAACGAGAAUAAAUACUGUCUGGAUGAGUUGCGGGGAAAUGGGCCUCUGUGAAUCCCAAGGAGUUAGAGCCCAGAAGAUGCUCUCCCUCUCUCUCUAACACAGGAAGGACAUAAGUCUGGGGAUCUGCCAACUAACAAGGGGAGUGCGCUGAAUGGGUCAAAGGUCAUCAUUCAUCCCCCUCUGUCUCCUUCCUCUAAAGCUCACUGGAGGAUACAGCCUGACUACCCACACAAACACACACUCCUCUGGCUCCAACAACAGUAAAGGAGGCUCAGCUGAGGCUGCCAGGCAGAUGUGGCGCGUGCGUGCGUGCGUGCCUGCGUGCCUGCGUGCUGGACCGGGUGAGGAAUACUACUUUCUCACUGCAGCUGGUCGAGUUUGUUGAGUUGAGGUGCUGUGCUGUGCACCUGCUGUUUACAGGUGGUGUUCAUGGCCUUAUCCUCUAUACGGUGUCGUGAGAUGCUUCUUGAACUACUUCAACAACUUCAACUCCAACCUCAAAGAACUUUCUGAUGGUCCUGUAAUUUACAAUCUCAUGGACUUCAAACCCACAGAACUUUAUUUUGAAUUCUAUUUCCAAAGACACCAAAUAUGUUAUACUGAUAUAGACUGAAACGUGCAUAAAAGGAUAGACAAAAGAUGUAGAAUUUUCUAUUCGAUUCAUUAUAAUGGUGCAGCAAUAAAAAAUGGGUGGAUUGAUGAAGCUGUU